rnacentral:rRNA from 1 species
GGCGGUGUUUUAGUCUUUUUAGGAGGAAUCUGUUCCGUGAUUGAUAAUACUCGAUUUGUUAUACUUAAUUUUGAUAAUCAGUUUAUAUAUCGCCGUCAUAAGAAUAUUUUUAUUGAGAAUAUAAAUUUUCUUUAUUUUUAAUUAUAAAAUAUGUCAGGUCAAGGUGUAGCUAAUAAUUGAGUGGAAAUGGAUUACAAUAAUUUAAAUUAUAUGAAUAACUUAUUUAAUUUAAGUUUGAAGGUGGAUUCAAUUGUAAAUUUAAUUUAGAUUUUUGAUUCUGAUUUUGGCUCUGAAAUGUGUACAUAUCGCCCGUCGCUCUCAUUUUAAGGUGAG